CAAUGGUGUCAAAUGUAGGAAGCCUGUCAUAAAAGAAGGAUGGGCCUGGGGCGUGGAAAACCACCAGGACCAAACAGUAUAAAAGCCAGUGCAUCAGAUGGGGUCUUCAGACAUGCCCCGGGGCAUCUCUCAGUGUGUUUGGCCUGUACUUUGAGGAAUAAACACAUCUUCUUUGAAUCUGAAGACUGACUCCUAGACUCUUCACUGCCUGCAUUGGUGAGACUUAGGCAGCUAUUAUUUUUGAAUCUGCAAACUCUUUAGAAAAUCAGAACUUAGAGCAAGAACUGAAGAAGCCCCAAGUUGUGAAGACAUUUUUCUGCAACAGUAUCUGUGUCAAAAGUGGAAAAGAGGAUGGAACUGUUGUACAUACAGCUGAUAACAGUAUACUUCAGAUUUUACAGAAGCAAAAUCAAGUAUCUGAACUGCUACUACAACAACAGCGGUCAAGUCAACUUCCACCAAGAGAUACCGGUCUUUGAAGGAGACCCUUUAAAAUUCAAGAUGUUCAUGCAAGCCUUUAAACACUGUGUUGAAGAUAACUGUGCAGCUAAAGGAGACUGCAUGUACUAUCUGGAAAGGUACACCAAAGGGCAUCCAAGAGAGCUUGUGCAAAGUUGUUUACACAUGAGUGCAGACAGAGGCUUUGAAACAGCUAAAGCCCUCCAACAGGAGCAUUUUGGUAAUGAAAAUUUCUGUUUCAUCUGAGCACAGAACUUUCCUUCAGAAGGUCUUUUUUUUUGUCCAUGUGAUUAGCAGCAAACAUUAGUUAAGCUUUACCUUGCCGUUUCUGGAGAAAGUGCUUCCUUCUUGAUCGGCAGCCUCUCAGCUCAUUGCACCUCUAUGGGCACAGACACCUGGGUUCCAGCAGAAUUUAUUGAAUAAUUCAUUGAAGACCUGCUUUUUAGUGAUUCCUGAUUGACUCUUGACCAUCGUGACCAAUUUUCUCUCAGCAGCAGGUGACACAACUAUACCAUGCACUUCAUGCUUACAAACAAUGGUUUGCACAGAUGAUUUUGGAAUCAGUAGCUGCUUAAAAUGCCUCCAAAUGACUUUGUUUGCUUUUUCAGAUAUUUGCUGAGCUCCUCAGACUUUACCAUUGUAGUGUUUGUGGAUGAGUCUGAUGAGUGUAUCAAAUGGACACUAAUUAAAUUGCAUCAGAUGAGUCACCAGUUGUAAUGAAUCAUAAUCACUCAUAAGAAGAUUAUAAGUCACUUAGCAAAUUUAAUUAACAUAGCUUUCUACAUUACCAAAAGUUAAACUUUAAGUUGCUGCAUGAUCAUUUUUGACCAAGGAGAUUGUCUUAUUUCCAGAAAACAAUAAAUAAAUAUAUGAAAGAACUAGAGUGCAUGACUUUUUUGUGUGACAAAGACUCGUGUUUCAGUGAUUCCAUCAUAGAAAAUUUAAAUUGUUGGAGUAACUGGAAACUCACGAUCACCUUAUGUGGCCUUUAAAAAUGUGUGAAAACGUUUGUUCACGUCUGUAAGUAAACAUUUCUGCAAACAGAAUUUGGAGGUUUGUCAUGAGUUAGAAAGAGAAUGCUAUCAUUAUGUACAUAAUGGUUUGUAAACACGCAUACACUUCUCUGAAACAUUCCAUGGGAAAUCCUUCCAAGUGCAUGUGGGUCAAUAUAUAAUUGAGGGACUUUUGAAGUCCAUGGAAUAUAUCUUGCAUACAUUUUUAUUAAAAGUAAAAAAAGUAAUGUUUUUAUGUUCAUUAUGGACAUGUUUUUACAAAUUCCACAACUAUUUAUUAUGGAAAAGAUCACUUUUUAAUAAUAAAUGACUGGAUAUCACUAAAAUGUCAACUAAAUAACCAUCCAAAUUUAACAACAGCCACCUUCUAAUUAGCCAAAACAAUAAUAAAAUGAGUUCAUUCAAAAAUUGUUUUGAUUGUGUUCUUUUUAUUAAGUUGAGAUAGCACUAGCACUUUGAGAUUUUAUAUGUAAAGUGCAUUAUAAAUUAAAGGUAUUAUUAUUAUUAUUAGAUAAUCAUGACAGAUAUUUCUUUUUUUGGCAACAUAUCAAAUUUUAUAUAGAAAAUAAAUUGUAUCUGUGUCUGAGAAAUCACUUUCAACCACUGUUCCCUCUAAACUGCGCGCGUGCGCAAUUGCGCACUGCUGACACGCUCUUCGCGCACAGAAAAUCUGCGCUGCGCACAAAAAAAAAAAAUCCAACCUAAAUUGUAAAUAAAAUAAACACGUAACAAUUCAUUCUGUGCUAUUUUUCAGUGUGAGUCAGUGAGUGACCGGUGACUGGCUGCUGCAGCCAAUGAUGCGAUUCACAUACGUAUUUACCACAGACUGUAUAUAAUGGUAUUUAUGCAGCUAAUCAACGUCAUUGACAGGCGUCCUUAUGUGCAGCUACGUUGUUCUCAUAGAUAUGAAUGAGUAGAUAGGACACGCCCCUUUGAGCUGCGUACUACUGCGAGGCUAAGCUAGUGGGGGCAAAGUUUCAGUGCAUUCUGUUGAUGUAGACGGCGUGAAAACGGAAACAAGUAUGCCGGCUCACUGUGCUGCAUACAGUUACACACUGUGUCGUACGAUUGAGACAAGGAAACUUGGAAUGACUUUUCAUAGGUUUCCCAGAGACUAUGGGUUGAGGAGGAAUUGGAAGUUUGUCGGCUUAGACCUGGUGUCAUUCCAUCAGUGUUAAACUUCCCGGCUCAUCUUGGAAGAGUACGUGCCAGAAAGACCAUGACCAAGCAGCCUUGAGAUCUUAGUCUCCCCGAGACCAAAGAACUACAGACUCUUCACAACCUGCUCAAACUCUUGGUACAGGACCUCACCACACGGGUCAAGAAGGUUUCCAUCUCAUUUCUACUCUGAAGCUCACCUUCUCCUGCUCAAACUGCUGAUAAAUGUUUCUGCUGCUCUAAAGUCUGGUCUCCAGAACUUCCUAAAAACUCUCAAAGUCUCUUCUGCUGCAGGUUGCUUUGUAGAACUGUUCCAGAAAACCUCACUAAACCACAUGGAGGGGCCUCAAGAUAGUCGUCCAAAUGAAACCAUACAAAAACCAAACUAGCACAACCCAAACGCUAAAGUCUCCUGCAGCCUACCAGAGAACCUCUGAGAACAGAGAAUCAGGACAGGAACUCUUACCUUCUGGACAACCAACGUUGGUUCACAAACAAGAAUACAGAAUGUAUCUGACCAAAAACCUCUGAAGACUCACUACAGCCAAGAUAAAGACACAACUCAGCUGUACCAAAUCCACUAAUCACUGCACACAUUAGCACCAUGUGCUAACUGUGGCUAAAGAACCACCUUUACCAAGACAACUAUCCAGUACAAAGCCCUAAAACACACCAAGAAACACAUUAAAGACGAUUUUACUGCUGGAAGCUGCAAGCCAACGCCUAAAGAACAGACUAAAGCAAUGGAGCCAAACCCUGUUCACUGGUGAAGAGAAACAGAGGAAAUGUUUGACUGAGCCACAUGAAGCAGGAAGACACUGAGCUGCUCAGGUGUUCCUGAUAACACCAAGCUGCUCAGGUGUUCCUGAUAACACCAAGCAGCCACCUGGACAGCCAAUAGGAACACAGCUUACUGGAAGUCCAGAGGGCUGGCUUAGUGAAGGAAAUUUAGUUUAAAGUUGAGGCAGAAAGUUAACAAAGAAAGUUGAAAACCA